AAUCACUAUAUAUGGCACAAUGUCUACAAGACACAUGGGGAUUACAAAUAUUUUUCCUUAUACGUGACAAUUUUAUGUAAGUACAGUGUUACAUAUAGUUAUUGACCAGAGACUUACGGCAGUUGUCAUCGUAUAUUAUAAAGAUCUUAAAAGACUUUGCUAAAAGCAAAACCCCAAAAGUACAGCGUCAUCAUAAGCGUAUCGCAUAUCAAAUCCUUAAAUGAUCCAAGUACAUGAAUGAUUCAAACGUAAAUCGAUCCAUGAAUACUUGAGAGAGUCUGAAUAUGAGAUUCCUUAUCGCUUAAGGGAAAUGACGUAAUAUGCUUUAUACAUGCAAACACAACUCCCAUUAGUGAGACGUGCAUGUCUUGGGUUGGAACCUAAGAAGAAAGCCAUGAGGGGGAGGCCCAAAGGCGAGCAUAUCUAGUUAUGUUGGGCUGUUAAACUAAAGUUAACUCAUGCAAUCGAUAGUCUAAAGCUAGCUCAUAUAUAUUCAUUAUGUUAUAGUUAACGUGAUCAAAAUUGCCUCAAUGAGUAUUAUGAUUGGAAUACAAAACCGAAUUCGGAUUAUGUUGCUACAUAUUCUAACUUUCGCGAAGUUAUGAAUUGCUUAAAGCUCUUGAAGAGCAUAUACGAGAUGUAUCAAUCAAUAAACGAAGAUAUUGAUAUGAGUGGCUAGAUAUGCCAUGUUAAUAUUCCAAUGGUUUUGAAUCAUACAUAGUAAUGUGUUAAUUAGCUUCUAUUGCUUAAUUUUUACAUAAUAUAUAAAUUUGAACAUGUGAGGUUGUUUAUAACAUUAUAACAUGAGGUAAGAC
rnacentral:lncRNA from 1 species